GGUGAGGUGUCCGAGUGGCUGAAGGAACACACCUGGAAAGUGUGAAUACAAAACGUAUCAAGGGUUCGAAUCCCUUCCUCACCA
rnacentral:tRNA from 1 species